GCAAUGAUGAUGGAGUAGUUUUGACAGUAAUGAGAAAACACAACUUAAUCCUCUAAGAAGUUCUGAGCUC